rnacentral:rRNA from 1 species
UCGAGAAUUUUUCACAAUGGGGGAAACCCUGAUGGAGCGACGCCGCGUGGAGGAUGAAGGUUUUCGGAUUGUAAACUCCUGUCAUUAGAGAACAAGGCACACGGUUUAACUGGCCGUGUGUUGAUAGUAUCUGAAGAGGAAGAGACGGCUAACUCUGUGCCAGCAGCCGCGGUAAUACAGAGGUCUCAAGCGUUGUUCGGAUUCAUUGGGCGUAAAGGGUGCGUAGGUGGCGAGGUAAGUCGGAUGUGAAAUCUCCAAGCUCAACUUGGAAACUGCAUUCGAUACUGCUUUGCUAGAGGAUUGUAGAGGGCAUUGGAAUUCACGGUGUAGCAGUGAAAUGCGUAGAUAUCGUGAGGAAGACCAGUGGCGAAGGCGAAUGCCUGGGCAAUUCCUGACACUGAGGCACGAAGGCCAGGGGAGCAAACGGG